rnacentral:rRNA from 1 species
UAGCAUAUCAUAGCGGAGGAAAAGAAACCAACAGGGAUUGCCUCAGUAACGGCGAGUGAAGCGGCAAGAGCUCAAAUUUGAAAUCUGGCCUCCCCCGGGGGCCCGAGUUGUAAUUUGCAGAGGAUGUUUCGGGUGCGGCCGCCGUCUAAGUUCCUUGGAACAGGACGUCAGAGAGGGUGAGAAUCCCGUCUUGGGCGGGCGGUCCGCGCCCGUGUGAAGCUCCUUCGACGAGUCGAGUUGUUUGGGAAUGCAGCUCUAAGCGGGUGGUAAAUUUCAUCUAAAGCUAAAUAUUGGCCGGAGACCGAUAGCGCACAAGUAGAGUGAUCGAAAGGUUAAAAGCACCUUGAAAAGGGAGUUAAACAGCACGUGAAAUUGUUGAAAGGGAAGCGCUUGCGGCCAGACUCGGGGGCGGGGUUCAGCGGGUGCUCGUCGCCCGUGUAUUCCUCGUUUCCCGGGCCAGCAUCAGUUUCGACGGCCGGUCAAAGGCCCCCGGAAUGUGUCGUCUCUCGGGACGUCUUAUAGCCGGGGGUGCAAUGCGGCCCGUCGGGACUGAGGAACGCGCUCCGGCUCGGAUGCUGGCGUAAUGGCCGUAAGCGGCCCGUCUUGAAACACGGACCAAGGAGUCUAACAUCCACGCGAGUGUUCGGGUGUCAAACCCGUGCGCGCAGUGAAAGCGAACGGAGGUGGGAGCCCUAGGGCGCACCAUCGACCGAUCCUGAAGUCUUCGGAUGGAUUUGAGUAGGAGCGUGGCCGUUGGGACCCGAAAGAUGGUGAACUAUGCCUGAAUAGGGUGAAGCCAGAGGAAACUCUGGUGGAGGCUCGCAGCGGUUCUGACGUGCAAAUCGAUCGUCAAAUUUGGGCAUAGGGGCGAAAGACUAAUC